rnacentral:rRNA from 1 species
UCGACCUCAAAUCAGGUAGGACUACCCGCUGAACUUAAGCAUAUCAAUAAGCGGAGGAAAAGAAACUAACAAGGAUUCCCCUAGUAACUGCGAGUGAAGCGGGAAAAGCUCAAAUUUAAAAUCUGGCGGCCUCCGGUCGUCCGAGUUGUAGUCUGGAGAAGUGUUUUCCGUGCUGGACCGUGUACAAGUCCCUUGGAACAGGGCGUCAUAGARGGUGAGAAUCCGUCUUUGACACGGACUGCCAGUGCUCUGUGAUGCGCUCUC